AUUGAACGCUGGCGGCAUGCUUUACACAUGCAAGUCGAACGGUAACAGGCCGCAAGGUGCUGACGAGUGGCGAACGGGUGAGUAAUGCAUCGGAACGUGCCCAGUCGUGGGGGAUAACUACUCGAAAGAGUAGCUAAUACCGCAUACGAUCUAUGGAUGAAAGCGGGGGACCGUAAGGCCUCGCGCGAUUGGAGCGGCCGAUGUCAGAUUAGGUAGUUGGUGGGGUAAAGGCUCACCAAGCCAACGAUCUAUAGCUGGUCUGAGAGGACAACCAGCCACACUGGGACUGAGACACGGCCCAGACUCCUACGGGAGGCAGCAGUGGGGAAUUUUGGACAAAGGGCGCAAGCCUGAUCCAGCAAUGCCGCGUGCAGGAAGAAGGCCUUCGGGUUGUAAACUGCUUUUGUACGGAACGAAACGGCUCUGGUUAAUACCCGGGGCUAAUGACGGUACCGUAAGAAUAAGCACCGGCUAACUACGUG
rnacentral:rRNA from 1 species